CGAUAAUAUUUACCAGUAUUUGUUAUCGAUUAUUUUUUGCAAAGUUUACUUAUCAGAUCAGUGUUACCAGAUACAAGUUUUUCUAGCCUCUGACAUUUUAAAUGAAACACGCGUAUCUGACGUCACAAAUUCAAGAUUAAAGUGUCUAAAUAAUUUCAUUUGGAUAAAUGGGAUUCUUAUAAGAUGAUAUGCGUAGCAAAUGAUAAUUGCUAAGACGUUUGAGCACCGACAAAAAUUAUUACCUAGAAGUAGAAAGUAAUAUUAAUAUAAAUAGAUCAAAAAAUAAAUACACUAAAUUAAAAAAAAGAAGGUAAAGAUAAUUAAAAAAUGAAAAAUCUAAAUAAUAUUAAUAACUGAUGCCCUCUUUACAUAUGUCAGAAUAAACGCAUAAGAAUUAGAAUAAGGGCCUACAGAUUAUGUCAAAUUCUCGAAAAUGAAUUGGAAAAUGUUAGACAAAAUAAUUGAAUGGUUUGAAACAUCAAUAAUCAUUCGUUCACUCUGAUAUGGGAUGAAAGCAAACAAGGAAACAAAGUUAACAAAUACUCUAAAGUCAAAGUUGUAGAGAGUCGAACGAAAUAUUAACUGCAGAUAGAUUUGGAAUUGUUGUUAGUGGCAGUCUACUAGAGAAUUGAAAAUUUUAUUUGAACGAAUAACGAUUCGUUAUUUAAAGAUUUUUCUUAGUUUUGGCAAGCAUGUCUUGGAAGCAUCCUUAUAAACAAGUGCUAAAUUUGGUUUGUAAAAUGUCACCGAAUGGCCGAACUUGUGAGAAUUAUUUAAGAAAGGAAUAUCCGGAGUGUUUUUCGACGCCGUCUAUAUUUAGUGUAAUCCGGGACCUACCGCUAAAGGCAAUGAAGUUUUUGUUCUCUAACCAUCAGCUACACUGUGAGCAUCAAUCAAGCGCAUGUCCAUACAAGCGAGCUCAAUCUCAAUGUCCACAUCAGUCGGGCUGCUGUUCGUUAAAUUUCCACGAUCAAGAUUAUACCCUAUUGAGUGGAUUCUUUAAGAGUCUUAUAAUACUAGCUAUCAGCAUAGGUAUUUUAUAUGCUAUAUUCAAGGCUGUUGCCCAAAGACGCGGUUCGACUCAGUGAACAGAUCCAAUAGAGUUCAGUUCAUGAACAACAUAAUAACGGGAGAGAGAGGACAAUUGAACAAGAUGGCAAACACAUAUACAGGACAUUCGACACAUACUUGCAAGUUAAUGUACAACAAUAACACUUCGGACAUCAAAUUAAACGGUGGGAAAACCAAUGCUUAUACGCAAAAAAUUUACAACUAUUUCGGAUCUUGGCUGUGGGUACUAUAAUAGCAUAUCUAAGACAAAUGGUUGUCUAUGCGUUUAUGAGUAAAGUCUUUAGUUUAAUUUGGCAAAUAGUUCCGGUCAAAUUGUAAAAAUAAUCAAUAAACUAUUCAACAAUUCAUUAGUUUUA